UCCUGGGAUAACACUGACGUUCAUGCUCGAAAGCGUGGGUAGCAAACAGGAUUAGAUACCCUGGUAGUCCACGCCCUAAACGAUGUCAAUUAGCUGUUGGGCAACUUGAUUGCUUAGUAGCGUAGCUAACGCGUGAAAUUGACCGCCUGGGGAGUACGGUCGCAAGAUUAAAACUCAAAGGAAUUGACGGGGACCCGCACAAGCAGUGGAUGAUGUGGAUUAAUUCGAUGCAACGCGAAGAACCUUACCUGGUCUUGACAUGUACGGAAUCCUCCAGAGACGGAGGAGUGCCUUCGGGAGCCGUAACACAGGUGCUGCAUGGCUGUCGUCAGCUCGUGUCGUGAGAUGUUGGGUUAAGUCCCGCAACGAGCGCAACCCUUGUCAUUAGUUGCCAUCAUUUAGUUGGGCACUCUAAUGAGACUGCCGGUGACAAGCCGGAGGAAGGUGGGGAUGACGUCAAGUCCUCAUGGCCCUUAUGACCAGGGCUUCACACGUCGUACAAUGGUCGGUACAGAGGGUAGCCAAGCCGCGAGGUGGAGCCAAUCUCACAAAACCGAUCGUAGUCCGGAUUGCACUCUGCAACUCGAGUGCAUGAAGUCGGAAUCGCUAGUAAUCGCAGGUCAGCAUACUGCGGUGAAUACGUUCCCGGGUCUUGUACACACCGCCCGUCACACCAUGGGAGUGGGGGAUACCAGAAGUAGGUAGGGUAACCGCAAGGAGCCCGCUUACCACGGUAUGCUUCAUGACUGGGGUGAAGUCGUAACAAGGUAGCCGUAGGGGAACC
rnacentral:rRNA from 1 species